CCUACGGGCGGCAGCAGUGAGGAAUAUUGGUCAAUGGUCGGGAGACUGAACCAGCCAAGCCGCGUGAGGGAUGAAGGUACAGAGUAUCGUAAACCUCUUUUGUCAGGGAACAAAGGCGGGGACGUGUCCCCGGAUGAGUGUACCUGAAGAAAAAGCAUCGGCUAACUCCGUGCCAGCAGCCGCGGUAAUACGGAGGAUGCGAGCGUUAUCCGGAUUUAUUGGGUUUAAAGGGUGCGCAGGCGGUCUGUUAAGUCAGCGGUAAAAGCCCGGGGCUCAACCCCGGCCCGCCGUUGAGACUGGCAGUCUCGAGUUGGUGAGAGGUAUGCGGAAGGCGCGGUGUAGCGGUGAAAUGCAUAGAUAUCGCGCAGAACUCCGAUUGCGAAGGCAGCAUGCCGGCUCCACACUGACGCUGAGGCACGAAAGCGUGGGUAUCGAACAGGAGUAGAUACCCGGGUAGUC
rnacentral:rRNA from 1 species